UACGUAGGCAGCAAGCGUUGUUCGGAGUUACUGGGCGUAAAGAGUAUGUAGGCGGUUGCGUAAGUUCGGUGUGAAAUCUCCCGCUUAACUGGGAGGGUGCGCCGAAUACUGAGGGACUUGGAGUGCGGGAGAGGAAAGUGGAAUUCCUGGUGUAGCGGUGAAAUGCGUAGAUAUCAGGAGGAACACCGGUGGUGUAGACGGCUUUCUGGACCGUAACUGACGCUGAGACACGAAAGCGUGGGGAGCAAACAGG
rnacentral:rRNA from 1 species